UGUGUACUCCCUCCGUUCCAAAAUACUUGACUUCCAUUUGUCCAAAAAUGGAUGUGCCUAUAUACUAAAACAUGUCUAGAUACAUAUAUAUUUUGACAAAUAUAAGGCAUGUAUUGUGCAACGGAGGGAGUAGAAU
rfam:Triticum aestivum genome assembly, contig: Triticum_aestivum_CS42_TGACv1_scaffold_222923_3B